GAAUCACCAAUCAAAAUGACGCGCGAUCUUUGCACGUUUUGUUUGGUUCGUGAUUCGGCUACAUUUCAGCUCAAAGUCUGCAAAUUCGAAUGAUCAAAUGAUAGUUGGACAGAAUAAAAACAGGAUAAAGUGAGGAGAGUUUUUAUUCUGCUCCCUAUAUGCUGAGGAUUAUUGCACACUACAAGAAUAACCCAACAACUGCGAAAGACGCCCCCAAAGACGCACAAGAACUAUCAACGUAUCCACAGAUGGGGAUCAUACCGUCCAGGUGCACAUAUCUGGAACUCAUCAUAAGCUCCCGAAAAGUGCAUUUUGUUUUAUUCAUAACCACCAAGAAUUUUAAACAUACUACACUAUAUUAAGUUUCUUUUCAUCUUAUGCCCCAUAUUACUCCGGAUUUGAGAACACCACCACGGAGCUGCACCCCCUUUUCACUAUCAAUAAUGUAUUUAUUUUAUUUUAAUUUUUUUUUAGCCUACAAUGAACGUUUUGUCUACAAGUUAAAAAAAAACACAGCACAUCGUUUAAUAAGAUCAGUGACAAAGAGGUUGAUUCACUCGAUUUUAGUAAACGGAAAACCAAGUUGUGAAAUACAAACAAAAAGUGUUGAUUUUAAAAAAAUUCCCACACCCUGUGGUUUGUUUAAAAUGAAAUAAUACCCGAUUCAUAGUACAGACUCAGAGUGGGGCUAUUGUUAUGAUCUAUUUAAAUGUUACAGUGUUAGUAUUCUCACAAUGUGUAGGGGGAAUCAUUUGUGAGCAAUCAAUGUCUCACUGGUUGAGUUGAAAUCCAGGUGAGUUCAGUCACUUUGCUACUUCUUACAAACAAGACAUUGACUUGGUGUAAACAUCUGAAAAAUUUAUAAUCCUGUGCCCGACUCUUCAUUAAUUCUU